rnacentral:rRNA from 1 species
AGCGAACGCUGGCGGCAGGCCUAACACAUGCAAGUCGAACGAACCUUUCGGGGUUAGUGGCGGACGGGUGAGUAACACGUUGGAACGUGCCUUUAGGUUCGGAAUAACUCAGGGAAACUUGUGCUAAUACCGAAUGUGCCCUUCGGGGGAAAGAUUUAUCGCCUUUAGAGCGGCCCGCGUCUGAUUAGCUAGUUGGUUGAGGUAAUGGCUCACCAAGGCGACGAUCAGUAGCUGGUCUGAGAGGAUGAUCAGCCACAUUGGGACUGAGACACGGCCCAAAAUCCUACGGGAGGCAGCAGUGGGGAAUCGUGCGAAAUGGGCGAAAGCCUGACGAAGCCAUGCCGCGUGAAUGAUGAAGGGCUUAGGAUUGUAAAAUUCUUUCAACGGGGACGAUAAUGACGGUACCCGGAGAAGAAGCCCCGGCUAACUUCGUG